GAUGAAGAACGUAGCGAAAUGCGAUAAGUAAUGUGAAUUGCAGAAUUCAGUGAAUCAUCGAAUCUUUGAACGCACAUUGCGCCCCUUGGUAUUCCGAGGGGCAUGCCUGUUCGAGCGUCAUUAUAACCCCUCAAGCUCAGCUUGGUGUUGGGGCCUGCUGCACUGGCAGCCCUUAAAAUCAGUGGCGGCGCCAUCUGGCUCUAAGCGUAGUAAUUCUUCUCGCUAUGGAGUCCUGGUAGAUGCUUGCCAUCAACCCCCAAUUUUUCUAUGGUUGACCUCGGAUCAGGUAGGGAUACCCGCUGAACUUAAGCAUAUCAAUAAGCGGAGGA
rnacentral:misc_RNA from 1 species